AUGGCCUUUUCUGGCCUCAGGGAGACCGUCCGAGGGUCAGUUUUGCCACCUUCUUUUCGGCCUUUUUGGAAAGGAGGCAGUCUAGAUCUUGAAUAUAAUGAUUUGCUUUCUGAGUUUGCACAUCCAAAGCAGUACUUACCUCCUAAAACAGUGGUCUCUACCCUCAUCUGCAGUGUCUGGCGGCCUUCUGACACAAAGAAAAAUCAGAAUAUGUAUUUCGAAAGAAAAAAGUCCAGUGGAAUGAGCUGUCUCUUCAGGAAUAAAUCAGAAGAGAAAAGGUACAAGUUAGGAGCAAAACAAGUCCUGGAUUUAAAACCAUGGCAAGCAGACUUCUCCACCGGUCCUUUCCAGAGAUGGAAGAGAUACCAGUCAAUCACAAAUAAAUAAAGAAUGUAUGUGAACCAGAUGCUUAUGGCAUAGAUCAUUUUUAUAGGCAUGACAAUUAGGUGGCUACCAUUUAAGGUAUGUUCCUAGAAUAUUUUACAGUAUAUUUUCCAGUCUUAAUUACAAACUUUAGAAAAUAAUUUGAAUAAAAUAGAAAAUGUCUACAGUAUUAUGGAAUUUCCUUCUCAUCAUAUUUGAGAAUCUGUCGUAAAAGCAUGUAAUUAGAACAAAACAAAAAUACUUGCUGACACAUUUUUCUAGGACUUCUGGCCAAAGCAAUAAGGCAAGAAAAAUAAAUGAAACUGAUUAGAAAAUAUAUUAGUAAUAUAAAAUUAGUAGCUAAAAACAAAAUUUUAUUAGCUUAUCAUUCUGGA
rnacentral:lncRNA from 10 species